UACAGAGGUCUCAACCGUUGUUCGGAUUCAUUGGGCGUAAAGGGUGCGUAGGCGGUCGCGUAAGUCAGGUGUGAAAUCUCAGGGCUCAACCCUGAAACUGCACUUGAUACUGCGUGGCUCGGGUACUGGAGAGGAGACUGGAAUUUACGGUGUAGCAGUGAAAUGCGUAGAUAUCGUAAGGAAGGCCAGUGGCGAAGGCGAGUCUCUGGACAGUUACCGACGCUGAGGCACGAAGGUCAGGGGAGCAAACGGG
rnacentral:rRNA from 1 species